rnacentral:lncRNA from 1 species
AAACUACACCAUCUUUGAUUGACCGAAUUCAUAAUGAAUUUAUUAAUAAUCUUAUUGGACUAAUAGUUAAAAUAUUUUCCAUGUAUUAUAUAAUCCUUGUUUUAUGAGAUUGAUGAUGAAACAAAUAUAUAAUCUUUCUACUAAUAUUUAUGAACACGUUUAUUCAGUGUUCUCGAAGUCCCAUGUGGUAUUUAUACGUAUUACUCCACACUAAUUACGUAGAGAAAAAUUUUGCGGAUAUAACAUGAUAACUCACAUUUAUUGAGUAGUUGAAAAAUAAGAGGUGACCGGCCCACAAUGUGUGUUGCUAUUGUUCAUUUGCUGAGAGUAACAUGUAAGCAAUACCACAUGCACAUAAUUAUUUCAGAAAGUACCUAAUAAUUUUCCCAUUUUUAUGUUCUAAUCUUUAAAUUAAACAUGGACCUAAGAGAUGACUUGACCCAUGGGUCAAGAGGAAGAAAUAUAAUGUAAAUAACAACCAGUUUUUAAUGGCAGGUCUGGUAUACGCCCAGAGUCCCGGACCAAUAAUUAUCCUAUAGUUAUAGGUCUUGCACGGUUCAAAUUUCACUAAAAUGGUAAUUAUCCUAUAGACGACGGUGUUGGUUGUGUGGUGUUAGUGUUUAUGACCUUGGUGAGCUACAACCACAUCGGCUUUCGGGUAGCCUUUCUUAUUUUGUUGUUGACUAUGCGGUGGAAGUGUAGUGGUAGCAAUUAUGACCAUGGUGAGGACCGAUGGUGGUUGUGUGGUGGUAAGGUAUGGUGGUAGUAUGAUGGUGGUGGUAGUGGUGUUGAUGAGAACACUUUUGAAAGUUUGGCGUGGGGAUGAGGGAAAAAUAUUAAAUAAUUUCGGGCAUGGCUUUGUAUGACUCCGCCUUGAUUACUUGCCCCGAUUCCGCCCCACUAAAGUAAUAUAUGUUUUAUUUAUUAUAUUUUAUAUUAUUUAUUAAUAAUAAAUCUCAAAUAUAUGAGAAAAUAACAACUACGGUAUUUUUUACUAAGUUGAAGUUAUUCAUUGUUAUUAUGUUAGUUUUUCUUAUUUUUUUAUGUUUCAAAGUAAAUAAUUUUAGUUGAUGAGAAAAAAAAAAGAUAUGGGGAACGGGAACAGGGCGAGAAAAUUCGAUCCACGUAGAGGAUGGGAAUGGGUUGAUCAAUUAAAUCCCCACCGGGAUCAGGAAUGGGAUGGGAAUGCCUAUUGAUAGUCAUGAUAGCGAUGGGAUCGGUUCCAAGUUUUGGACGAAUUGAUUUGAUCCUGAAAUUUCAAGAAUCGUAGGAUUCAGUUCAAUCCGUGCGUAGGAUUCAGUUCAAUCCGUGGUUUUACUCAUAACCCAACAAAUCCAAACUGUGAACACCCUAGCAUAUACAAUUGGGUAAAUUUUAUCGCUGGUCUCUUUAGUUUAGAAAAAUUGACUUUAAUCCCAAUAGAUUUAAUUUGAACAAUUAUAACUUUACAGUUUUUUAUUAGUUGUAAUGUGAUUUCUUCAUUGAAAUUCAUUUAAAUGCUAACAAAAAUUGCAUAGUUUCUCUUUUUUUUUUUACAUUUUUGGUCUAUAUUUUUACAAAUUUUGGAUAGAUGGACCGAUUACAAUUUGUUGGAAAAUAAGGUUGGUCAGGUCAAGGACGGAUUUAGGAUUCUUACUAUGGGGGGCGAAAGCAUAAUUGAGAAAAAAAUUGGGGGGCUAAUCUCUAUAAUUUUGAUAUUUUCUUUAAAAAAAUUGAGGGGCUAACCUAUAUAAUUUCUAAAUUAUAUUAAAACGUGUAGUAUAAUUAGUGAAUUUUUUUCAAACUUUUGAAAGUGCGAACGCCCCCAUAGAUCUAUCCUUGGGUCAGGUUACUCAAACCCUUUGCCCAAGCCAACCCAAAAUUGUGGCUUUAAAAUUGUGUUUCAGUAUAUUGCCCAAGUCCUCAAAUUUGCCUGGCGCCGUGCUCAGGUUAGCCCAACCCAAGUUUUGCAUUUUGUUUCAUGGAUCGUGCACUAUUAUUUCCAAAAUUUAAUUUUUCAAGGAAAUUAGAGAUUCUUUCGCAAUGUGAAAGAGUAAAUGAAAAUUUUUCUUUAUUUGUCGCCGUGCUCAGGCUAGCCCAACCCAAGUUUUGCAUUUUAUUUCAUGGACCGUACACUAUUAUUUCUAAAAUUUAAUUGUUUUCAAGGAAAUUAGAGAUUCUUUCGCAAUGUGAAAGAGUAAAUGAAAGUUUUUCUUUGUUUGUCUGUUUGUUCUUCAGAUUUAGAUGUUCUGUACGUGGAAAUAGUUACAAAUCACUAUUAUAGAAAUUACACCAAUAUUCUGUAUGUGGAAAUAGCUAAACAUAUCAUUAUCAUAGAAACUACACCUUGUUUCAUUGACCGAAUCCAUAGUGAGUGUAACUAAUAGUACAAAAAAUAUCAAUAAAAUAUUUUCCAAGUAGUAUAUGAUUCAUGUCUUAUGAGAUUGAUGAUGAAACAAAUACAUAAUCUUUCCACCAAUAUUUACGCUCAAACGUCAAAUACACCGUUAUUCAAUGCUUU